GAUGAACGCUGGCGGCGUGCCUAAUACAUGCAAGUCGAGCGAACAGACGAGGAGCUUGCUCCUCUGACGUUAGCGGCGGACGGGUGAGUAACACGUGGAUAACCUACCUAUAAGACUGGGAUAACUUCGGGAAACCGGAGCUAAUACCAGAUAACAUGUUGAACCGCAUGGUUCAACAGUGAAAGACGGUCUUGCUGUCACUUAUAGAUGGAUCCGCGCCGCAUUAGCUAGUUGGUAAGGUAACGGCUUACCAAGGCAACGAUGCGUAGCCGAACUGAGAGGGUGAUCGGCCACACUGGAACUGAGACACGGUCCAGACUCCUACGGGAGGCAGCAGUAGGGAAUCUUCCGCAAUGGGCGAAAGCCUGACGGAGCAACGCCGCGUGGGUGAUGAAGGUCUUCGGAUCGUAAAACUCUGUUAUUAGGGAAGAACAAAUGUGUAAGUAACUAUGCACGUCUUGACGGUACCUAAUCAGAAAGCCACGGCUAACUACGUGCCAGCCGCCGCCGUAA
rnacentral:rRNA from 1 species